rnacentral:antisense_RNA from 1 species
GUCUAUGGCGGACCGUGCGAGCGGGCCUCGAGCCCGACCGGUUCUGGUGAACGAUCCCGGUACUUCCACACUCGCACGGUCCGCCACCCUU